rnacentral:rRNA from 1 species
ACGGAAGGCAGCAGUGGGGAAUAUUGGGCAAUGGGCGCAAGCCUGACCCAGCAAUGCCGCGUGAAGGAAGAAGGCUUUCGGGUUGUAAACUUCUUUUAAGAGGGACGAUAAUGACGGUACCUCUUGAAUAAGCUCCGGCUAACUACGUGCCAGCAGCCGCGGUAAUACGUAGGGAGCAAGCGUUAUCCGGAUUUACUGGGUGUAAAGGGCGUGUAGGCGGGACUGCAAGUCAGAUGUGAAAGCACAGGGCUCAACUCUGUGUCUGCAUUUGAAACUGUAGUUCUUGAGUGCUGGAGAGGCUAACGGAAUUCCUAGUGUAGCGGUGAAAUGCGUAGAUAUUAGGAGGAACACCAGUGGCGAAGGCGGUUAGCUGGACAGUAACUGACGCUGAGGCGCGAAAGCGUGGGUAGCAAACAGGAUUAGAUACCCUGGUA